UACAGAGGGGCGAAGCGUUGUUCGGUAAUUACUGGGCGUAAAGGGCUCGUAGGCGGCCAACUAAGUCAGACGUGAAAUCCCUCGGCUUAACCGGGGAACUGCGUCUGAUACUGGAUGGCUUGAAUCCGGGAGAGGGAUGCGGAAUUCCAGGUGUAGCGGUGAAAUGCGUAGAUAUCGGGAGGAACACCGGUGGCGAAGGCGGCCCCCUGGUUGGAUACUGACGCUGAGACGCGAAAGCGUGGGGAGCAAACAGG
rnacentral:rRNA from 1 species